rnacentral:rRNA from 1 species
CCUACGGGGGGCAGCAGUGGGGAAUAUUGGACAAUGGGCGAAAGCCUGAUCCAGCCAUGCCGCGUGUGUGAAGAAGGCCUUCGGGUUGUAAAGCACUUUCAGUGGGGAAGAAAGCCUUGGGGCUAAUACCCUCGAGGAAGGACAUCACCCACAGAAGAAGCACCGGCUAACUCCGUGCCAGCAGCCGCGGUAAUACGGAGGGUGCGAGCGUUAAUCGGAAUUACUGGGCGUAAAGCGCGCGUAGGCGGUCUGAUAAGCCGGUUGUGAAAGCCCCGGGCUCAACCUGGGAACGGCAUCCGGAACUGUCAGGCUAGAGUGCAGGAGAGGAAGGUAGAAUUCCCGGUGUAGCGGUGAAAUGCGUAGAGAUCGGGAGGAAUACCAGUAGCGAAGGCGGCCUUCUGGACUGACACUGACGCUGAGGUGCGAAAGCGUGGGUAGCAAACAGGAUUAGAUACCCUUGUAGUC